rnacentral:misc_RNA from 1 species
UAUUUAGUGAAAUUAUAAGUGUCUGCNNNNNNNCAUUACUUGUUCUUUAAUAAUAUAAAGCAUUAAACUGUAUAUAUUUUUGUUUCUUCAAGUUGUUAUAUUAAGUAUUUAAGCGUAUACUGCGGAUGCCUUGGCAAUCAGAGGCGAUGAAGGACGUGCUAAUCUGCGAUAAGCAUUGAUAAGCUGAUA